ensembl:lncRNA
AUAUUUUUUUAAAAAUCUACAAAAGUAAAGACACUCUGAAAAAUUACAUUUGUAAUCUGGAUAUUAUUUAAAGAGUUAGUCUUGGGCAACAUGACUGAGGCUAUGAUACUUCUCAGCCCCUGCAAAGGGGGAGGAACUCUAAAGUUCUAAAACUGAAGACUUGUCAGUGACUUCAUCUAUUAUGAAAAUCACUGAGGACUCUGAUGGGGACCACAGGGGAAGCGUCCAGAAGCAUUGGCCAACCAGAGCUUAUUCCUGGAACCAAAUUCAGGAAAAUGGAUAAGCGCCCUCACCCACUGCACUCUGGGAAGAACAAGCUCCUGGAUUACAAACAUAGACAACUGGAUUUUUCUGCAUCGGCCCUGGUGAAUACCACCUGCCAAAGAUUGCUGUGGAAACAGAUUUUGACCCCCAAUCAAAAUGUUGGCCCCAUGAAGGAAUCACAUCAGUGAUGUUUCCUGACAUCUGGAACUGUAACAGAUGAGGAAGAUGAG